AGCGUAGGUGGCCUAACAUGUCAACUGUGAAAACCCGGAGCUCAACUCCGGACUUGCAGUUGAAACUGGUAGGCUUGAGGACGGUAGAGGAAGACGGAACUGACAGUGUAGGGGUAAAAUCCUUAGAUAUUGGCAGGAACGCCGGUGACGAAGGUGGUUUUCUGGGCCGGUUCUGACACUGAUGCUCGAAAGCCAGGGGAGCGAACG
rnacentral:rRNA from 1 species